CCUACGGGGUGCAGCAGUGGGGAAUAUUGGACAAUGGGCGAAAGCCUGAUCCAGCCAUGCCGCGUGUGUGAAGAAGGCCUUCGGGUUGUAAAGCACUUUCAGUGGGGAAGAAAGCCUUGGGGCUAAUACCCUCGAGGAAGGACAUCACCCACAGAAGAAGCACCGGCUAACUCCGUGCCAGCAGCCGCGGUAAUACGGAGGGUGCGAGCGUUAAUCGGAAUUACUGGGCGUAAAGCGCGCGUAGGCGGUCUGAUAAGCCGGUUGUGAAAGCCCCGGGCUCAACCUGGGAACGGCAUCCGGAACUGUCAGGAUAGAGUGCAGGAGAGGAAGGUAGAAUUCCCGGUGUAGCGGUGAAAUGCGUAGAGAUCGGGAGGAAUACCAGUGGCGAAGGCGGCCUUCUGGACUGACACUGACGCUGAGGUGCGAAAGCGUGGGUAGCAAACAGGAUUAGAUACCCCUGUAGUC
rnacentral:rRNA from 1 species